CUGAAAUACUUAUUCUCAUCCGACCACCGAAGUUAAGCAACGUUAACCCUGGUAAUUAUCUUGAUGGGUGACCGCUCGGGAGUACCAGGUGCUGUAAG